rnacentral:misc_RNA from 1 species
CAACCCUCAAGCCCCCGGGCUUGGUGUUGGGGACCGGCCACCGCCGCAACUCGCGGCAGGCCGCCCCCGAAAUACAGUGGCGGUCACGCUGCGGCAUCUCCUGCGUAGUAACACACCUCGCAUCAGAUACGCUACGAGACCACGCCGUAAAACAACCCACUUCUGAAA